UCACCAUUAUAUACUUGGAAAAGUAUAUGGGCACUAAAAGGACUACUGCUUUCAGGUCUGAGCUGGAGGGUAGGUGAUGGGCGUAACAUCAAAAUUGAAGAAGAUGUCCGGGUUCCAAAAGUCAAUGGUUUGCUGAUUCAGAAAACAGUUAAUAGGCAUGAUGUUAUAAAAGUUACAGACCUUAUUGAUUAUAGGAACAGAACAUGGAAAUCUGAGCUGAUUUUUACUACAUUUUCGAAAGAGGUUGCAUAAGAUCCUGUUAAUUCCACUGGCUCGUUCCCCUCAUGAAGACUUUAUGUGUUAGAGAGGUGAGGCAUCUGGUGAAUAUACGGUGCGUAGUGGGUACAAAAUUCUCUUACAAAGUAAUGAAAAUUACAACUCAAGCGAGAAUAAAAAUUACUACAAAAAAAUCUGGUUGAGUGACCUCCCUUCAAAAAUUAGAAUUACAGCUUGGAGAGCCACCCUCAAUUACCUCCCUACCCUAGCAAACUUUAAAACUAAGCGAGUAACUAACGACGCUAUCUGUCAGAGAUGGAUGUAAGGGCUGGAAAACAAAGAGCAUGUCUUCCGCGAUUGUGCUGUCACAAAAGAAAAAUGGGCAAAAUUAGAGUUUGCAUGGCCCCAGAACAUCUUACAGUCAGAAUACAUGGACUGGUUUACUUGGAUGGUGUUAAAUAGUAUAACAGAAGUAGUCCGAAUUUUUAUCUGUGCUAUAUGGGCUAUCUGGUCAGCCAGGAAUAAAUGGCUCCAUGAAGGUUAGAAGUGGUCUGGAGCAGAAACAAUAACAUUCAUCAAGAAAUAUAUGCAAGAAUUAAAAGAUGUUGAAAGAAGGGAACUUACCUCGGGUCGGGGAUUUCGAGUCAUGGAAGCAUCUACUACAAGGAUUCUUCAAGAUAAAUUUCGAUGCUGCUUUUGACAAGAAGGAGAAAAAGUCAUGCUCAGGAAUAAUAGUCAGGAACUCCAAAGGAGUAGUUACGGCAUCAAAAGAAACAGUCCAUACCAACAUUUCCUCUAGUUUUGCGGCUGAAGCCAAUGCAUGCCUACAGGCAAUUAAUGUGGGCAGAGACUUAGGGUUAAAUCAUGUUAUCAUUGAAGGAGACUCUUUGAUAGUGAUAAAGAAGAUACAGAAUCAAAUCAGAGAUAGAUCGGCAAUAGGACCUUUCAUUUUCGACAUAAAAGAACGAAAAAUAGUGUUUUUUGACUGUUAGUUUCAACAUGUAAAGAGAACAACAAAUGAAUCAGCACAUAACCUGGCAUCAGCGGGGUUAAAAAUGGCCAGGAACAUAGACAUUAAUCAUGGGCACGUCGGACAAGUUGAUACUGAAGCAUAAGUUGAUCGGGGUUGGCAAAGACACCUCUAGUUGGUUAAGAACCAUCAUCAAGUGUAUUACUGAAGUUAAAACGGAGAUUCUUCACAUUAGGCAACCCAUAUGACGCUGCAAAAAUGGUUACAGUAAGUGAAAGAGAAUGAGAUUCAGGCCGAGGAUAGAUGGAUAUGAAAUGGAAAAAGGAAAGAUCAAAAAGUAGAUCAAUAUUCAUGGGGCAAUAAGCUUUCUUGUAAAUUCUGGAACAUAUCCACAAUGAAAAAGUAAAUGAAAUGAUGAGACGCAUACAGAC
rnacentral:lncRNA from 1 species